rnacentral:rRNA from 1 species
AAUGAACGCUGGCGGCGUGGAUUAGGCAUGCAAGUCGAACGAGAAAGCGGUUUUUAAUCGUGAGUAAAGUGGCGAAUGGGUGAGUAACGCGUGGGAAACCUACCCUUGAGUGUGGAAUAACAUUUCUAACGAGAUGCUAAUACCGCAUAAUAUUACAGAUCGCAUGUUCUGUAAUCAAAGGAGGCCUCUAUUUAUAAGCUAUCGCUUAAGGAUGGUCCCGCGUCCAAUUAGCUAGUUGGUAGGGUAAUGGCCUACCAAGGCGACGAUUGGUAGCCGGCCUGAGAGGGUGUCCGGCCACACUGGGACUGAGACACGGCCCAGACUCCUACGGGAGGCAGCAGUCGAGAAGCUUCGGCAAUGGGGGAAACCCUGACCGAGCGACGCCGCGUGGGUGAUGAAGUCCUUCGGGAUGUAAAGCCCUGUCAUAUGGGAUGAAAAAUCGAUUGGUUAAUUACCUUUUGAUCUGACAGUACUAUAAGAG